GGAUAGCUCAGUCGGUAGAACAUGAGACUCCUAAUCCCAGGGUCAUGGCUUUGAGCCUCACGUUGGCCA